rnacentral:rRNA from 1 species
AACGAACGCUGGCGGCAUGCCUAACACAUGCAAGUCGAACGAACCCUUCGGGGUUAGUGGCGCACGGGUGCGUAACGCGUGGGAAUCUGCCCUUUGCUUCGGAAUAACAGUUAGAAAUGACUGCUAAUACCGGAUGAUGUCUUCGGACCAAAGAUUUAUCGGCAAAGGAUGAGCCCGCGUAGGAUUAGGUAGUUGGUGGGGUAAAGGCCUACCAAGCCGACGAUCCUUAGCUGGUCUGAGAGGAUGGUCAGCCACACUGGGACUGAGACACGGCCCAGACUCCUACGGGAGGCAGCAGUGGGGAAUAUUGGACAAUGGACGCAAGUCUGAUCCAGCAAUGCCGCGUGAGUGAUGAAGGCCUUAGGGUUGUAAAGCUCUUUUGGCGGGGACGAUAAUGACGGUACCCGCAGAAUAAGUCCCGGCUAACUUCGUGCCAGCCGCCGCAGUAAGAC